GGCUACCUACGGGGGGCAGCAGUGGGGAAUAUUGGACAAUGGGGGGAACCCUGAUCCAGCGACGCCGCGUGAGUGAAGAAGUAUUCGGUAUGUAAAGCUCUAUCAGCAGGGAAGAAAGAAAUGACGGUACUUGACCAAGAAGCCCCGGCUAACUACGUGCCAGCAGCCGCGGUAAUACGUAGGGGGCAAGCGUUAUCCGGAUUUACUGGGUGUAAAGGGAGCGUAGACGGCGAUGCAAGUCUGACGUGAAAGGCGGGGGCCCAACCCCCGGACUGCUUUGGAAACUGUAUGGCUGGAGUGCAGGG
rnacentral:rRNA from 1 species